UGGGGAAUCUUGCGCAAUGGGCGAAAGCCUGACGCAGCAACGCCGCGUGCGGGAUGAAGGCCUUCGUGGUUGUAAACCGCUUUCAGCAGGGACGAAAAUGACGGUACCUGCAGAAGAAGCUCCGGCUAACUACGUGCCAGCAGCCGCGGUAAUACGUAGGGGGCGAGCGUUGUCCGGAAUCAUUGGGCGUAAAGAGCUCGUAGGCGGUUCAGUAAGUCGGGUGUGAAAGCUCCGAGCUCAACUCGGAGAGGCCACCCGAUACUGCUGUGACUAGAAUCCAGUAGGGGAGUGUGGAACUCCUGGUGUAGCGGUGAAAUGCGCAGAUAUCAGGAAGAACACCAGCGGCGAAGGCGGCACUCUGGGCUGGUAUUGACGCUGAGGAGCGAAAGUGUGGGUAGCAAACAGG
rnacentral:rRNA from 1 species